UGGUGGAGUGAUUUGUCUGGUUAAUUCCGUUAACGAACGAGACCCCUGCCUGCUAAAUAGCCAUGAUAGUGAAUUAACUGACAUAAGCUUCUUAGAGGGACGUGCACUCAACUAGUUGCAGGAAGAUAGGGGCAAUAACA
rnacentral:rRNA from 1 species